rnacentral:rRNA from 1 species
CACAACGGGUGGAGCUUGCGGUUUAAUUGGAUUCAACGCCGGAAAUCUUACCGGGACCGACAGCAAUAUGAAGGCCAGGCUGAAGACUUUGCCGGAUUAGCUGAGAGGUGGUGCAUGGCCGUCGCCAGUUCGCGCCGUGAGGUGUCCUGUUAAGUCAGGCAACGAGCGAGACCCACGCCAACAGUUGCUAGCUCGUCCUCCGGGAUGGAGAGGACACUGUUGGGACCGCCUCUGCUAAAGGGGAGGAAGGAAUGGGCAACGGUAGGUCAGCAUGCCCCGAAUUAUCCGGGCUACACGCGGGCUACAAUGGUCAGGACAAUGGGUUCCGACACCGAAAGGUGAAGGCAAUCUCCUAAACCUGUCCGAAGUUCGGAUUGCGGGUUGUAACUCACCCGCAUGAAGCUGGAAUCCGUAGUAAUCGCGUUUCACCAUAACGCGGUGAAUAAGUCCCUGCUCC